rnacentral:rRNA from 1 species
AUUGAACGCUGGCGGCGUGCCUAACACAUGCAAGUCGAGCGGUAACAGGCGUAGCAAUACGUGCUGACGAGCGGCGAACGGGUGAGUAAUGCUUUGGAAUCUUCCCAGUAGUGGGGAAUAACCAGUCGAAAGAUUGGCUAAUACCGCAUACGUCUGUGAAGGGAAAGCGGGGGAUCGCAAGACCUCGCGCUAUUGGAUGAGCCAAAGUCGGAUUAGCUAGUUGGUGAGGUAAUGGCUCACCAAGGCGACGAUCCGUAGCUGGUCUGAGAGGACGACCAGCCACACCGGAACUGAGACACGGUCCGGACUCCUACGGGAGGCAGCAGUGGGGAAUAUUGGACAAUGGGGGAAACCCUGAUCCAGCGACGCCGCGUGUGUGAAGAAGGCCUGCGGGUUGUAAAGCACUUUUAGUGGGGACAAAAAGCCACCGGCUAAUACCGGGUGGUCUUGAUUUAACUCACAGAAAAAGCACCGGCUAACUCUGUGCCAGCAGCCGCGGU